UACGUAGGUGGCAAGCGUUAUCUGGAAUUAUUGGGCGUAAAGCGCGCGUAGGUGGUUUGUUAAGUUGGAUGUGAAAGCCCCGGGCUCAACCUGGGAACUGCAUCCAAAACUGGCAAGCUAGAGUACGGUAGAGGGUGGUGGAAUUUCCGGUGUAGCGGUGAAAUGCGUAGAGAUCGGAAGGAACACCAGUGGCGAAGGCGGCUACCUGGCCUAAUACUGACACUGAGGCACGAAAGCGUGGGGAGCAAACAGG
rnacentral:rRNA from 1 species